rnacentral:lncRNA from 1 species
AUGGUCAUUUGCUAUUGUACAACCAUUUGAAGCCCAUUGUACAAACAUUUAAGCAUGGAAAUGUUGAAAAUCUCUUCAACACGCGGUGCAGCUCUUGGAUCCUAACCGGAUCUCUUUGACCCGUUUUACUCUUAUGGAUCCAAUAUAAACUCUUUCACUCCUUUCUAAACCCUAAAUUCAUUUCAUUCACAUCCGCCCCAUUCUUCUUCUUCUCUCUCUCUCACCAGACGGCGGUGUCUCACGGCGUUGGAUUUCAUUGGCGAUUUCACUAGAUCGACGGAUUUCACCGAUGAUUUCACUUCUCAGAUCGACGGAUUUCACCGGCGAUUUCACUAGAUCGACGGAUUUUACCGACGAUUUCACUUCUCAGGGUUUCUUUCUCCGGCGAUUCCGACAUCAGAUCAUCUACUGGGUUCAACUUCUCGAUCUGUUAUAAUACUUGCCUACUAAAUCGCAUGAUGAUGGCAGCGGCGAGUUCUAGGGUUUCGGCGGCUACAUGCCAUUAGGAGGAUAACAAAGGAGAAAAAUGCUCUUGCUGAAAGACUACGGAAUGCUAAAGCUGAAAGGAAAAGAUUUGAUGAUGAACUGAAAUGUUAUGCAACAGAGAAUGUGAAGUUCAAAAAAAUGAGAAUCCUUCACAACUUCACUAGAGGAGAUAGUUCCAGCCUCUAGAACAGCAUCUGAAGUUGCGGUCAAAGUUGCAAUGGCUGCAGCUCUGAAGAAGGCAGUAAUAAAGUAUAGAAGAAACUACAUCUUCAAUUUUAGUUGUCGUGGACUCUGGUUGUGGUUAAUUGUCAUCAGUGGAUUGUUUUGCUAGAUUUGCUCUUUGCUCUGGAGAUGUUGUUCAUUGAGAUAGUCAAGAAUAAGAGAAAAGAAAAGAAAACGAUGGUCUUCUGGGCUGAGUCUUUCAACUUUGUAAAUUUGCGGUCGACUUGAUUUGCCGCAUGGCAAAGUCUUAUUGCUGUUAUAAAACGAGGCAGCGAGCUUGUCGGAGCACAAGCUGCAGGUCCAUCGUAUCGGGUGGUCUUUAACAAAUGUUGCAGCCAACUGUACCAGCCUCAAGUAUUCUUGAAUUCCAGUCUUCCAUUCUAAAAACGCAUUUCAUUAGGUGACAAGACAUGUAGGUUGAUUGGAAUAGCAAAUGGCUAAUUUGGAGCACUUGGUGAAAUGAGCACAUGUUGGUCCACCCGAUGAGGUGUCCUUUUCCGGUUCAACAGAGGAUUUUCCAGAAACUGUUGUUUGAGAAUAACCAUACAUAUUUUGGGUGUUGUAGAAAGUCACUUUCUAUGCUUGAGAAUCCAGCACCGAUGAAAGAUACUGAUGCAAAAAAAGCUUAAUGACGUGUCACUACAACAUGUGCAGCAAAAUACCAUUAUCUAGCCCUAAACAUACCAAAGAGUGAUGUCAACAGGGAAUACUUUGCUGAGGAACAUGAUCGCAGGGCAAGAGUUGGUCUAGAUUAUGAGUCCUCGUAUGGAAAGGAACGACCAAAUGAUACUAUUUCGAAACUCCAAAGGACAACACCGUAUUACAAGAGAAAUUGAGCACAUAUUUGCAUUUUCUUCAUCAGAGGCGAAUGUACUAGAGGCGCUGAAUGCCCUUACAGACUUACAGGCAUGAGAUGCCUGUCACUGGCGAGUUAUCCCAGCAGAAUAUCAAAGACCGUUAUUACGGAGUUAACGAUCCAGUUACGCUAAAACUACUAAACAAGGCAGGCGAAAUGCCGCCGUUAGAACCCCCAGAGGACGAGAGCAUUAGAACGUUAUACGUAGGAGGGCUGGAACCAAAACGCUUAAAGCUUUUGGAACCAAAACGCUUCGGAGCGCCUUGCGCUUUUUUAAACCAAGGGUUGUAUACACAGACGAUGAGGAUUACAUUAUGAUGGUCGGUGACGAUCCAUGGAAUGAGUUCUGCGACAGGGUGAUCAUGUGGCACUUACGUUUGCAUUUGCUGAAAUGGUGUUUAAGUUGCGGCGCCUUUACGUGCGAGAACAAGCUAUGUAGGCUGUGGGUUUAACCCAUUCAACGUGUCUUAUCACUUGGAAGAUUAACCAUCUUGAAUCGGUUCCUAUUGAAUAUGUGAUGGAUCCACGUAUAUGUUUAAAAUUUAUACAACACAAAUUGUGGGUUUGUAACUGUGGACAUAACUGCAUUUUAUUUGUCAUCUAAUUACAUUUCCAUUUGAGUACCAUUCACAAAACGAGUACCGCGUUUUAAAUUGUUGUUGUCGCAUCGCAGGGGUUUUGGGCCCCAUCUUGUGUUACCUUACCUUAGCGUUC